UAAAUGAACUUAAAUUCAACUUAAAAUAUUUUUAAACAAACUAAGUAAAAAAUAGUAUUUUAAAGUUAAUUAAUGGAGGUUCAGCUCUAUUAAUAAAGGAUACAACCUAAAAUAAUGAAUAAUGAUUAUAAUGACUAAAGAAAUUAACUAUGUAGGCCUAAAAGCAGCAAUCAAAAUAAAAGCGUUAAAGCUUAAUUUAAUAAAUCUUAUUAUAACAAUAAAUAAUCUUAAUUCACCAAAACUAUUAAGUCAAUCUAUUUUUAUAGAUGUGAUUAUACUAGAAUGAGUAAUAAGAAUAUAUUCUCUUAGUGCAAGUGUAAAUCAAAACGAAUAUUUCACUGAUAAUUAACGAACCUUUUGAGGGAAAAAUAAUACUUUACAAGAAAAAUUUAUUCUACCUAUCGUUAACCCAACACAGGAGCACACUAGAAAGAUUAAAAAUAUAGGAAGGAACUCGGCAAACAUGAACUUCGCCUGUUUACCAAAAACAUCGCCUCUUGCAACUAAGGUAUAAGAGGUCCUGCCUGCCCAGUGACAUUAAGUUCAACGGCCGCGGUAUUAUGACCGUGCAAAGGUAGCGUAAUCACUUGUCUUUUAAAUAAAGACCAGUAUGAAUGGCAAGACGAAAGUUCAACUGUCUCCCUAAAUUAAUCAAUGAAAUUGAUCUUUCCGUGCAGAAGCGGAAAUAAAACUAUAAGACGAGAAGACCCUAUGGAGCUUUAAAUAUAUAAUCAAUUGUAUAACAUAAAAUCCGAAAGAUUAAAUAUAAAAUAAAACAAUAUGAUUAAAAUUUUAGGUUGGGGCGACCACGGAGAAAAACAAAACCUCCGAGAUGAAAAGAAUAUCUUAAUUCAAGAACUACAGUUCCAAAAAAUAAAAUAUUUAACAUAAUUGAUCCAAUAUGUUGAUCAACGAACCAAGUUACCCUAGGGAUAACAGCGCAAUCCUCUCCAAGAGUCCCUAUCGACGAGUGGGUUUACGACCUCGAUGUUGGAUCAGGACACCCCAAUGGUGCAGCCGCUAUUAAAGGUUCGUUUGUUCAACGAUUAAAGU
rnacentral:rRNA from 1 species